AUCUUCAAUUAGGUCAAAAUUUAAACACAAUUGACUAAAUCUCUAUCAAUAGGCUAUUUAUCAAAUAGCUUAAACUUAAUCCUAAUCGGACUAUAUCUUAAAUAAUUCCACCAGCUCGAAACACUAACCCAACAGCCUCUCAAGACCAACCCAAGCCCAAUUUCCUUUUGACUUUGCCAAAUUAGCCCCAAGUUCCCAUCAACACCACCCCAAGACCAAUAUUUCUCAACACCAGCCCAACAACAAGGAAAUUUCAGCCCACAACCAAUCCAAUAAACAAUUUCAACCCUAACUGGCCAGACCCCUAUCCUCUUAAGCAGCUUCUACAACACCAAUAUCAACCUCAGUCAAAAGCGCGUACAACUCAAACCCCAACAAUGACAACUCCUCAUCAGCUGACAACCACCACCAACCUCAUCGACGUACAACAUCACCAACAGCACGUACAGCUUUGAAAAACACAAAAAAUCAACCCGAUUCCCCUCGUUCUAUGUCCAAAUUUGUCAACCCACAACCAACCCAUCCUUUUUCUCUUCCACGCGUAUUUCACGCACCAGUGAGACGAGCAAAAGAUGUUCGAAUCUUCUAGAAACAGGGUUAGGUGUCGUCUCCAACGGUUAUCUCCGCGAAUCUCGAGACAAGGAAUCACGGUGAGGUAUUUUGAAAUUCCGUUGAAGCCUCGAGUCCUAUUUUACUGCUCCCGAAUAGGUACCAUCCCAUUCCUUUAAGCGUUCCAUUGCUUCUGCUUCAUCUCACUAUUCUGUAGUAGUAAGUAAUUUGAGAUCAUCCUGUAUGCUGGAUUUUGUUGUUGUAGAAGUCGUUAAUGGCCUUAGGACUUGUUUGUGAUCGUUGUGAUUAUGCUAUUUUGUUGAGUCAGUGUUACGUUUUAGUCUUUAAUUUGGCUGCCUGGAAUAAGCUCCCUGUUUCGUGUUGAUUGUGUUGAUUAGCCAUCCUUUUACGAAGCAGUGUAUAUACAUAUCGUUGAAUGCCUUGAAUAAGCUCCCUGUUUCGUGUUGAUUGUGUUGAUUAGCCAUCAUUUUUAUAUCAUGAAGCAGCGCACAUACAUAUCGCCGAUUACCUUCCAAUUUACUAUUUUUGUAUCGCAUAUUGUUUACAAAUUUUGUUCAUUAAUUUCCAUUGAGAUUCCCGUUUUAAUUUUCACUUAACUGGCUGGCUGAAUGUCAUUUUGUUUGAGUCAUUUUCUGUUUAGCUAGUAACAUCGCUAAUAGGAACCCUUUGCGAGUUCCUUUGAAUUUCCAAAUGUCAAAGAGAAUAACCAAAAUGAGUCCAAUAAUGAAGGUUGCCAAAAAAUCCUAGGAUCCCACAAUGACCGUUUCAUUUGAAUCUGUUGGAAUGAGGAAGAGGAUUAGAAUCAUGUAUGUCAUCUCGUUUGUUGUUGCAGUUUCGAUAUAGCCUUAAAUCGUUAUUUUUUGUUUAGCCAGUAACAUCACCAGCAGCAGGACUACUCUGAAAGUCCCUUUGGCCUCUCAAAUGCCAAAGAGAAUAAUGAGAUAUGUCCAAAUAUAAAUCAGAAAAUCCUAGGAUCCCUUGACGAUUAUAUCGACUAAUAAAAAUUUACUAAACUCACUUUUGAGUUUGUCAGAAUGAAGAAGAGGAUUAGAAUGAUGUACCCUUCCACUUUCCUUAUAGUUUGUUGGCUGUUCCCUUCCGUAUCCAAGAUUGGAAAUUUCAGUUUCUUUAUUCUUUAUACUUGAGUUUAGUAUGUGUUCUAACUAGAAAGUAAAUUCGAUAUAGUUUUUUUGUUGAAUUACUGAUACUUGAGUGGGUUUUUUUUUUUUUUUAGAGAAACAUCUCACUUUUAUUGCCAUUACAUUAUACGUGUAAUUUGUGCUUGAACUAAGGAUUCCCUGAGAUUUUUCUUGGACAGAAGCAUCAAGAAAGCAAAGAUGAAGUCAUGAUCUCUUGCUUCUGAAAGUGAGGUUGAGAGGUGGAGUAGAACAUUACAAUGGUCUACUUCCAUCUUCAAAAGCUUACGGCCAAGGUUCUUCUUUUUUUUAUUUUGUUUCUUUCCUCUUUUGGAACAUUUAGGAUUCUCAAUACUUUCCCGCCCUCGCUUGUCUUGUUCGUUUGUCAAACAAUAUUUGCCUUAAGUAAUCUAUGGCUUUACCUAUUCGAAAGGGAUCACUGGAGUAUUAUUUAUUGGUCUUGAUUGAUAAUUGUCACUUUAUGUAUCUCUUCCGUUCAAAUUGUUGUGUGUUUCUCCUUGGGUUAGAGUGCCUGAUUGAACAAUUGACCACUUCAUUUUCUGUUGUUAUCUCUUACCAGUGAGUGUAUAAACCCUCGAAAGCGAAAUACAAAAAUCCGUUUAUAGCAAUCUUCAUACCUUUUACAAACUUACACCUGACUUAUGUUUUGUGGUGUUAGUAAAUAAUUUAUAUAAGACAUGAUGUUUCCAGGGGAUAUGCAAAGGGAAAAGAUGCAUUUUGGUAUCUUUGCACACCAAUAUGAAAUGAAACAUGAAUCUAAGGAAUUAUACUUAUUUUCUGACCUUUUUUAUUGCUUUGCUAUUGCUAGUUUCCCGUAUUAACAUUUUGCCCUUAUAAGCAUGUCUCAUUGAUCCUUAAUCAUCUUUUAAUUAUUAAAGAUCCGUGUUAUGUUGAUUUCUUUAAUUUGAUUAUGUAUCAACUCCCUUUACUUCUUUCUCCGUUUUUGGUUGGUCAUGUGUCAACUGACUUUAGUAAACUUCUCUCUAGGUUGGUUAAUGUGUUAAUUCACUUUUCUUUUCUUUUUUUUAUUCCUCUCAUUGGUAGUAUAUUAAUAUCCUUUAUUUUUCUUAUUUUGCAUAAAAAAUUUGUUGGAAUCCAAACGAAUUUUUCAUGUCCCAUUUUGUAAUGGGCCAAUGAGGCCCAUCUUUCUAGUCAACCCCGAGACCAAGUCCAAAAGCCGAUCAUGAGGCGUAUGGAUGCUAGAAGAUAGAAGAAGAAAAGGAGGGUUAAAGACCCACGUUUGAAGCGGCUAAGAGAUGCAAAAAUCUCAUUUAUUAUUUCAUUCCGUUUAAUUAUUGUUGUCUUUAUUUAUUUUAUUGGUUUAUUUAUUUUAUUCAUUCAUUCGUUCGGGCCAUGAAGCCAAGGUUGUAUUUAACAUAGGUGGAGGCAAGAUUUGAGCCAAACGCUCGAAAACUAGAUUAGGACAGGUGAAAUGGAUCGAAGGCCCAAUUAGUCUAGGACAGGUUUUGUUGGUUUGGGCCAAUGGACUAAAUCCCUUACUUUCUCCCCUUCCCCCUAUUCUUUAUAUUUGUUUUCCUUUAUGUGCUUUGCAAACGUAGUUAAAUCCUUAGGUAAGUCUCUAAAAAACUAGUUUUGCAUAAACACCAAAAUACUUUCAAAAUUUCUUUCUUUCCAAAAAAAUCAAUCACUUUUUUGAGAAAAUUAAUCUUUUCGAAGUUAACUAAAAGGCGAUUUUUAAACAGUCCGAAUAACUGCAAGUUAGCAGACGUUUUAGGUGCCUAACACCUUCCUAAAACGUUAAUAGGAACCGCUUAUUUAGAAUCUCUAACUUAAAACGAUUUUUCUAUUUUAAACCAUUUUAAGUAACUCUCUAAAGGUUUCUUAAUUCCUUUUCAAAAUUAUCUCUUAACUAGGUUUAAAUCAAAUGUUUGAUUUUGUCUUUUGAUUAACUGUUUAUGUGUUUAUAUGUUUCGAUUUUGUAAAGUUUAAUUAUCGCAUCUCAUGACAUAUUCUUACAUUAUUUAAACUGUUUUGGAGUUUCGUGGAUGUCCCGGCCCCUAUUGUUCAAUUCCAAUAAUGCGUUAGAAAUACGAACAGCUUAUUAGCAUGUGAGUCGUCUGAUGGCUGUUCGUAUUUUCAAACUCAAGUUGUCCACUUCAGAACCAGUGUUCAAUCCCACUCUAGACACCUAGGAUAGAAUGAAACCAAAACCCUAUUUAGGCAUGAGCCUAGGACGACCCAAUACCCGAGCGGGGUAUUGGGUCCAUUAGAAAACCUUUCCUGCGUAUAUUGACCCCGAGUCAAUUAUAGAUGAACCAUAUUUAUGUGUUGAAGAAAACAAUGCCUGUCUAAUUCAAUCCACUAUCCUUUGGGGGUCGGGAAAAAGCUUGAUUUGCUUACUUUCGUAAGAAGAAUUGAAGCAAAAAAUUAAUCGAUUCGGGAGGUUGCAUCUAAGGGACAGUUUGAAUGUCAACGGAUGUUACCAAUAUAAGACCAGUUACUGGAUUUUCUUUCCCCAUAUCUUCAGCACCUUUCCUAGCCCUUUAGUUUACUGUAUUUUGAAUUAUACACGUUAUUCUUUUUUACAAUAUUAUAAACUAGUUCCAUCACUAUAACGUCCCUUUCAUGCAUUGAAUCUAUAAGAGUGCUAAUUUGCUAGGAAUUUUAGGAACCAAUCAUUCUUGUAGUCCUUCGGAAAAAGAACCAUUUUCUUCCUAAAGGAAUAUAUAAAAUAACCGCCUCAAAACGUAAAAUUUGCAUAACAGACAUAGUAUAUACCCUAAUAUGAGAUCAACAGUACUUAUCGAUGUUGUUGUCUAUUUCUCUAAUGAUCUUUUUCCACCUAAACUGAACUUCCAUCUACAGGACUUUGUCAAGAAACGGUUUAAAUACUUUGUCCCAACAGUCAUGAGGUGGCAGUGAUGUAACCGAGGGAGUGGCCUAGUGGUCAAAUAAGUGAGAUAAAAAUAAUUUUUAGGUUCAAAUCUCAGCGGAGACAAACUACUAGGUGAUUCCUUUCCAUUUAUCCAGGUCUUGGUGGACAAAGUUACCUAAUGCAUGUGUCCUUGGGAAGUAACAAAUACUUACGGAAUUAGUCGAGGUACAAACAAAUUAUUCUGAUACACGGUUUUAUUAAAAACAAAAAGAUCAAUAGACUCUGGAAUCAUCAUGUAUGUGACACAUUCAAUUAGUUGUUUAGUACUACGUACCAUAAAUAUCUUUGCCAAAAAUAAAAACAUUUUCGAAGUGUGGUUAUAUUAAAAUCUUGAAGUUGUCUGGUCAAAAGAAGUAUUUUUACCAAAA